UCUUAUUAAAUAUUAAACUAAUGACAAUUACAAAAAUAAAUUAAAAAAUCUUAGAUGAAAAAAAAAUGAAAAUGGAUUGUUAAAAUUAUAACUAAAUAAUUACCCGAUUCCCAACCCGACCCGAUUCCCAACCCGACCCGAUUUCAAACUCGAGUUUUUGAGAACGAACCCGGACCCGACUCGGCCCGACCUAAACGAUCCAAAAUUGACCCAAUUUGACCCACUUAUCAUAUUUUUUACUAACCCAAAUAAUCAAAACCAUUUGAAUCAAAUGACCCAAAAUUCGACCUAAAUCUAACCCGAUAUUUUGAAUUGACAAGUCCCGAUGACCUGAUCCAUAUAACAAUCUGGAUACAAGCUCUAAAAGGGAGGGAAAAUGAAAAAAAAAUAAUAGGGCGGAAAAAUUAAAAAGAAAGAAAAAGGGCGGAAGAAUUUCUGCUACUACGAUCUUCACAAUAGCUAUUCAGUUACCUGAUUCGUUCUUCUUCCUCAUUCUCUCUCUCCUCAAAGAUGGAGGUGUAGACGCACUGCCGCAACAUAUACACCACCACAGCUGGCGACAAAUACUCUUGCAUUUCCUGUUCUAUCUCCUCUAGCUUGUGUGAUCAAAGGGAAUUUCUCAGCGCUUCAACAAAUCAGAGAAAAAGUUGCAAAAGACCGUCAGAAAAAGAAAGAGGAGACAAUUUCUAAGUCUGGUUGGGUGGGGCUGAUUCCGAAAUCAUUGUCUGUAGAAGGAGAGCAGGUUGCUGCUGGGUGGCCUACUUGGCUUGUCGCCGUUGUAGGGGAGGCUAUCUAAGGAUGGGUGCCGCAGCGAGCUGAUACAUUGAGAAGUUAAAUAAGGAUUUAAUUAUAAGCCACCCCUUUGAUGAUAAUUUCUCAUGGUCAAGAUAGGGACCUCAUAAAGAAGCGCUUUUUCGGAGGCAACCCGAGUUCAAGUUCAACUACGGCACCUAAAACUUCUACUAAUUUCAAGUCAAGCUAGGAUGGGCUACUUGAAUUAUCAGAAAAUCCAAUUCAUCCUAAGUAUCCUGAUAUCACUUUAUCUAGGAGUGGGCCAGGAAAUUAAACUUGUAGCACAUGGUGUUAAAGGUUUUGGUAAGCAUGCAAAGUUGUCCCCAUUUGCUACUGCUUGAUACCGGAUGCUUCUUGAGGCAUUGCUGGUCUCUGGUGGAAGUGAUGGUUUACUAAUACUUUGGAGUGCUGAGCUUGGUCAUGAUUCACGAGAUCUUGUACCCAACCUUAUCCUAAAGGAGAUGCGGGGAUAAAACCAGUUCCAAAGAUAUCUUGCCAUAGUGUGGCAUCUUGGUGUCAUCCUCGAAAUUUAGGUCUCAAAGGCUUAAAGUGCAGCCCACGCUUAGGGAAAGCCCUCUCCAAGGACCCGCGGGUGCGGCAACGAGAGGAGAUGGCGCGGACAGGGUUUUAAUUCUCCCUCGAGUUCCUGGACAGGCGCGACAGUUUGACCCACGGGCGCGGCGAACUAGGUUUCGUAAAAUUUUAUUUUUUUGGGGCAUUAAGGGCACCGGUUAACCAAUAGUGAAAUUCUAUUGGAUUUUGUUGUUUGGAUUUUGAUGAGUACACAUGAAUUUUUUUUGUAUAAAAUCAAUUUUCUUCUAUAUUGAUGUCAUGUUUCCUAUUAGAUUGAUUAUUGUCUAUUGUUGAGUUCACAUGUUGAUUCAUCUUUAUUCAUUCAAUUUAUA